GUGUGUGUGUUAGUGUGUGUGUGUGUGUGUGUGUGUGUGUGUGUGUGUGUGCGCGCGUGCACGCACGUGCACGCGAGCGCUCA
rnacentral:pre_miRNA from 10 species